GAUGAACGCUGGCGGCGGGCUUAACACAUGCAAGUCGAACGGAAACGCCCUGAGUUUGUGGGGUGCUCGAGUGGCGAACGGGUGCGUAACACGUAUGUAACCUGCCCUAGACUUUCGGAUAACUUCAGGAAACGGGGGCUAAUACCGGAUAGGAUCUCAUGUUGCAUGGUGGGGGUUGGAAAGUCUCGGCGGGUGGGGAUGGACUCGCGGGUAAUCAGCUUGUUGGUUGGGUAGUGGCUUACCCAGGCUUUGAAGGGUAGGCGGCCGGAGAGGGGGACCGGGCACAUUGGGACUGAGAUACGGACCAGACUCGUACGGGAGGCAGCAGUGGGGAAUAUUGCACAACCAGCCCAAGCCUGAUGCAGCAACGCCGCGUGCGGGAUGACGGCCUUCUGGUUGAAAACAGCUUUCGCCUGUGACGAAGCGUGAGUGACGGUAACGGAUGAAGAAGCACCGGCUAACUACGUG
rnacentral:rRNA from 1 species